rnacentral:lncRNA from 1 species
GUAACUCAGUGUGAUUUAAAGAGAGGAAGAAGAAUUAGGCUUCAAAAGCUAAAACUGUGCAGUAACCAGCUCAAUGAUAUUUUUGUCAAUGGACAUUUCUUAUCACUGCCCAGCUCCAUGUUGGCCUUGUAGGGUUUCUCUUGAAGACUUCUCUUGAAGUGGAUCCUGAGAAGGAUCCGCUUCCAAUUAAAAAGUUAAAACUUAUCCCGGAUAUUUACUUGUGUGGGUAAUUUCCAAUUAACUAAAGUUUUUAGAUGGCUUUCUAUCCUGAGCAAUUGCUUUCAAAACUGAAGUUUCACAUUUAGCCUCCAGAUGUCACUGUUUGCAUUAUUUAUUUCAGCUCACCUGGGUGGGGCAAGGAAACAGGACUUGACAACUUCAGCUUUCUGAAUAAAUGACAGGACUCCAGCAGUUUUGGCUUAAUCAAUAGGCUUAAUGUUUUCUUUCUUUCUUUUCCAGUAAAGCAGUAAUAACAGACUAUUAUUAAAAUGAAAAUAUCUCCUUUAUACUUAAGUCUGUGAGCAAGGAAAUUUGACCUUAACAAUUUGGUUCUGACGGCAUGAAGGAGAAAUUACGUAUGCCCAUUAUUGCAUCAUGUUUGUCAUUCACAUGACUUUUCACCUUCUUAUUUCCUCACUGAAAAGUAGAAAUAACUCAGAUGCAUGCUGAUCAGUGACUCAACAUGCUGAGAUUCAUGGGGGCACUGGUGGUAGAAUGAAAUCAAUCCUCCAGACCUGGAGCC